AUUUAUAGCAGUUUAUUCAGAAACGAUAAACAUUGUGCCGGUCUUCGAGCGGAUAUACUAAUAGUGCACAUUUCUAGAUUCUCAAGAGUUUGUUCGAAAUGACGGAAUAAUUUCAAAGGUGUGACCGAUCGUAUGACACACUGGAUUUAUAUAUUCGUGUGAUUUAGAUAUCACAGACGAACAAAAUGGAGAAGAUACUGAUGAAGAUGAGAGUGAUGCUAGCAGCGACAAUGAUGAAUAUUUGUCUGAUGAGUCAGAUGAAAAUAUUUUUUUUCUUUUUUAAUGUGAAAAUACUAGUUUUUAUGUAUGUUAAUUAUUUUUUCAUGUA